rnacentral:rRNA from 1 species
CAGCAGCAGCCGCGGGAAUACAGAGGGUGCGAGCGUUAAUCGGAUUUACUGGGCGUAAAGCGUGCGUAGGCGGCUUCUUAAGUCGGAUGUGAAAUCCCUGAGCUUAACUUAGGAAUUGCAUUCGAUACUGGGAAGCUAGAGUAUGGGAGAGGAUGGUAGAAUUCCAGGUGUAGCGGUGAAAUGCGUAGAGAUCUGGAGGAAUACCGAUGGCGAAGGCAGCCAUCUGGCCUAAUACUGACGCUGAGGUACGAAAGCAUGGGGAGCAAACAGGAUUAGAUACCCGUGUAGUCCCUGUCUCUUAUAA